rnacentral:snoRNA from 1 species
AUACCAAAAGCUAGAUUUGUGGGAAAUGUUUUUUUUUUAAAAUAACCUUAACCAACUUAGGCAAUUUGGCAGAAUGAUUAAGACCACACUCCACAGUGGACUAUACCAUUUAGUAUGGUUCAUUACUAUCUUGUGGCCUACAUU